rnacentral:rRNA from 1 species
UUGGAGGGCAAGUCUGGUGCCAGCAGCCGCGGUAAUUCCAGCUCCAAUAGCGUAUAUUAAAGUUGUUGCAGUUAAAAAGCUCGUAGUUGAAUUUCGGGAUCAAAUUGUCGGUCGUGCCUCGGUACGCACUGGUAUUAUUGGUUCCUACCUUCUGAAGAACCGCGAUGUCAUUAAUUUGGUGUCGUGGGGAAUCAGGACUGUUACUUUGAAAAAAUUAGAGUGUUUAAAGCAGGCUUACGCUUGAAUACAUUAGCAUGGAAUAAUGAAAUAGGACGUUUGAUUCUAUUUUGUUGGUUUCUAGGAUUGACGUAAUGAUUAAUAGGGAUAGUUGGGGGCAUUAGUAUUCAAUUGUCAGAGGUGAAAUUCUUGGAUUUAUUGAAGACUAACUACUGCGAAAGCAUUUGCCAAGCAUGUUUUCAUUAAUCAAGAACGAAAGCUAGGGGAUCGAAGACGAUCAGAUACCGUCGUAGUCUUAACCAUAAACUAUGCCGACUAGGGAUCGGAUGAUGUUAAUUUUUUAAUGACUCAUUCGGCGCCUUACGGGAAACCAAAGUGUUUGGGUUC